rnacentral:rRNA from 1 species
CCUACGGGAGGCAGCAGUCGAGAAUCAUUCACAAUGGGGGAAACCCUGAUGGUGCGACGCCGCGUGGGGGAAUGAAGGUCUUCGGAUUGUAAACCCCUGUCAUGUGGGAGCAAAUUAAAAAGAUAGUACCACAAGAGGAAGAGACGGCUAACUCUGUGCCAGCAGCCGCGGUAAUACAGAGGUCUCAAGCGUUGUUCGGAAUCACUGGGCGUAAAGCGUGCGUAGGCUGUUUCGUAAGUCGUGUGUGAAAGGCGCGGGCUCAACCCGCGGACGGCACAUGAUACUGCGAGACUAGAGUAAUGGAGGGGGAACCGGAAUUCUCGGUGUAGCAGUGAAAGGCGUAGAUAUCGAGAGGAACACCAGAGGCGAAGGCGAUUAACUGGACCGUAACUGACGCUGAGGCACGAAAGUGUGGGUAGCAAACAGGAUUAGAUACCCGUGUAGUC